rnacentral:misc_RNA from 1 species
UACAUUUACAGGCUGCGUAUUGCAGGAUAACCUUUUCAGUAGUGAAUCCAGGUUUGUCACUAUAAAUGGAGAUCCAGGACAUUGCUUUCCAGGAUGCGGAGAAAGUACCGUCAUCGGUGUGACUAAAUCUCGGUGUUACUGUCUAGGAGAUGCAUUCAGCAUUACAAAGGAUACAGAGACUGGAUGCACGGAUAAAUGUAACCAUCCUACAGUUGCAUGUGGUCAAGAUUAUAGUCCAACAAAGUACAGCUACUUAUCAAUAUACAAAAUCAAUCCAAAUGUUACAGCGAGUUCUAUUUCCAAAAAGCCACCAUCCCCAAGGGAAACAAACUGCCUAAAAAUAGACCCAAGUGAUCAAAAAACCUUGUAUUGGGAUAGAUGUCAGUCAUAUCUUCAAGCCAUGUGCUUCAACAAAGAUCGUGUUGAAAACAUGCAGUGCACAAGCGGGUCGGACUUUUGUACAUGGGAUAGAUGCUGCAAAUACGUGCUUUAGUAACGGAUAUUUUCCAACAUUAUACUCAAAUUCAUUUGAUGUAAAGAAAGAUGAUGGUUCACCGAUAUGGACUGGACUUUUCAAAUCCAAUGUUGUUUACCAGCAUAAUUCAAAUUUUCCAGAGGAGCAGGAGACACGAUCAGAAGCAAUUUGGCUUUCUAAAAAAGGAAUCAGAAACCAAUGUGAAACUUAUGUUUACAACGAACGAUUCGAUGAAACGAAUACUGUGCAUGAAAGGUAGUUUAUUCGAGUACAAUGAUACAUGCAUCAAGACAGAAAAAAGAAAAACACGCUAACGACCCAUGUACCCAAAACUGAGUCAUCUUCCGUCAAUAUAACAGAAUUUUCCAGCUUUCCUACCACAACAUUGUCGGACAAAAGCGAAACAGCUGAGGGUAGCUCUGGUAUUUACAUUGCUAUAGGAGUUUGUGUAUCUGUUGCUUCCAUAGUUUUGCUGAUAGUUUUCUUAAGGAGGAGACGAAAGGAAGACAAACCAAGGAUUUCUCAAUCCACACAACAAUACAGCUAAACAAACAAUUGAAAAUGACAACGACUGCCCUGAGCUUGCAAUGCCAACUACAUCUCAAAGCAGACAUGUCUACUUUAUUCUGGAACCAAGAGAAAAAGAACCUGAAAAUAUAAACUGAAACGUACAAUACAGCGAGUGAAGAUACAGCUUAUGACAGAACAGAUAUACGUCAGGAUCAUGUAAAAACUAAAUCAGAAAAUGUAUAUAAUCAACUAGAUACGGCUAAAGAUACAACAUACGAUCAAGCCUAUUCUAGAGGUGGACGUAAGGCUGUAUCAUCAGAUUGUACAUUUGCACAUAAACAAGUCUGUUCUGAUGGACAAUCAAGUAGCAUUUAUAAUACAUCUAAUAUAAGAUGAUGGCGAGUACCACCAUAUAGGAAGUAACUUAAAACAAUCAAAAACAGACAACAUUUAUGGUAUUCACGGGACUGAAGGUGGAGACAAAUCAUUAGUUGAUGACCAUUCAACAUAUAACUGCAUAUCAAUUGACUGUACAGAGACUGUAAAUACUAAUAAUCCGUAUUCAAGUCUUGGUGCAAAAUGAAACAAAAUGCCUGUUUUUUAAUCUUCAAAGUGUAUAUAUGAAAUCUUUGCUACUGCUAACAUCGGAACAAAAAUACAAAAAUAUUAAAUAUAGACUAUACUUAUGAAGGGUUGAAUGUAGCAUAUAUGUUAUUGUUCCUAUUUCAAAUAUAUUCAUAAGCAGCAGUCAAUGAAAUAACGACAAUCGGCAGCAAGAGUUUUUAAAAGUAACAGAGAUGAUUAUGCUCUUAUUGUGACUGACAGGAGUUAAGUUAUUUAACAGAUUACUUAUCAUAAUUGACCUUGACUGAUAGAUUGACAAAUUGACUGAUUAAAUGGUUGAUUGAUAUUUGUGGUGAUCAAUGUCAGUCGUUUAUUUCUGUAAUGCAUACCA